AUACGUAGGUGGCGAGCGUUGUCCGGAUUUACUGGGUGUAAAGGGCGCGUAGGCGGGAUAGCAAGUCAGGUGUGAAAUCUAUGGGCUCAACCCAUAAACUGCACUUGAAACUGUUGUUCUUGAGUGUCGGCGCGGUAGAUGGAAUUCCUAGUGUAGCGGUGAAAUGUGUAGAUAUUAGGAGAAACACCAGUGGCGAAGGCGAGCUGAUGGACGAGACCAGACGCUGGGGCGGGAAAGCGUGGGGAGCAACGAGGAGUAGAUGCCCGGGGAGUCCACGCCGUAAACGAUGAAUACUAGGUGUGGGUGGGACUGAGCCCAUCCGUGCCGCAGCUAACGCAAUAAGUAUUCCACCUGGGGAGUACGUUCGCAAGAAGGAAACUCAAAUGAAUUGACGGGG
rnacentral:rRNA from 1 species